rnacentral:rRNA from 1 species
UACGUAGGGAGCAAGCGUUGUCCGGAAUCAUUGGGCGUAAAGCGCGCGUAGGUGGCCUCAUAAGUCCGCUGUGAAAGUCGGGGGCUCAACCCUCGGAUGCCGGUGGAUACUGUCGGGCUUGAGUACGGAAGAGGCGAGUGGAAUUCCUGGUGUAGCGGUGAAAUGCGCAGAUAUCAGGAGGAACACCAAUUGCGAAGGCAGCUCGCUGGGACGUUACUGACGCUGAGACGCGAAAGCGUGGGGAGCAAACAGG